rnacentral:rRNA from 1 species
UACGAAGGGGGCUAGCGUUGUUCGGAAUCACUGGGCGUAAAGCGCGUGUAGGCGGCCCACUAAGUCUGAUGUGAAAGCCCGGGGCUCACCCCCGGAAGUGCAUUGGAAACUGGUGGACUCGAGUCCCGGAGAGGAGAGUGGAAUUCCUGGUGUAGCGGUGAAAUGCGUAGAUAUCAGGAGGAACACCGGUGGCGAAGGCGGCUCUCUGGACGGUGACUGACGCUGAGACGCGAAAGCGUGGGGAGCAAACAGG